rnacentral:rRNA from 1 species
UACAGAGGCCUCGAGCGUUAGGCGGAAUCACUGGGCUUAAAGCGUGUGUAGGCGGACUUCUAAGUGCCUUGUGAAAUCCCACGGCUCACCCGUGGAACUGCUGGGCAUACUGGGAGUCUUGAGCCACCUAGGGGCGAGCGGAACAAAUGGUGGAGCGGUGAAAUGCGUAGAUAUCAUUUGGAACGCCAACGGAGAAAGCAGCUCGCUGGGGGUGUGCUGACGCUGAGACACGAAAGCCAGGGGAGCGAACGGG